rnacentral:rRNA from 1 species
GACGAACGCUGGCGGCGUGCCUAAUACAUGCAAGUUGAGCGCUGAAGGUUGGUACUUGUACCAACUGGAUGAGCAGCGAACGGGUGAGUAACGCGUGGGGAAUCUGCCUUUGAGCGGGGGACAACAUUUGGAAACGAAUGCUAAUACCGCAUAAAAACUUUAAACACAAGUUUUAAGUUUGAAAGAUGCAAUUGCAUCACUCAAAGAUGAUCCCGCGUUGUAUUAGCUAGUUGGUGAGGUAAGGGCUCACCAAGGCGAUGAUACAUAGCCGACCUGAGAGGGUGAUCGGCCACAUUGGGACUGAGACACGGCCCAAACUCCUACGGGAGGCAGCAGUAGGGAAUCUUCGGCAAUAGACGAAAGUCUGACCGAGCAACGCCGCGUGAGUGAAGAAGGUUUUCGGAUCGUAAAACUCUGUUGGUAGAGAAGAACGUUGGUGAGAGUGGAAAGCUCAUCAAGUGACGGUAACUACCCAGAAAGGGACGGCUAACUACGUG